ensembl:lncRNA novel transcript
GUUCGUGCCCCCGCCUGGCCGCGUGCAGUCUCGCGGAUGCGUCAGGCCACGAGUGCGCCACUGCUCGCCCCGCGCUGCGUCCCAGCAGACCUGCGCGCCUCUCCUCUGCCCCGGUCUGCGCCCUCAACCCCGCGCUUCCGCUAUAUUCCGGAGGAAUCUGAAAUCAGAUUCAGAUGUGAAGCGCGGUUUCGGAUCCUCUUUCGCUUCUCUAUCUCGAGAAACUUGAAACUGCGUCCUCUAGGAUUGCAUCAAACUGCAUCUUGAGCGUGGAGGAGGACUGCUGAGCCCCACGGGUUCGCCGGGCUGGAGAGGUCUUGCGCAACCUGAGGGUUGGGGAGAGAGGGGUGUUAGCGGAGGGAAUGGGCCCUGACGGCCCUAGAAGCUUCCCCGAGCGCCUCCCACCUCCAGCGGACUUGCUGUUAAAAACGCAAUUAAUGCGUCCUGUGAGUCAGAAUAAGGAUGACUACUUAUGGAAGAGGAAGGAGUGACUGGGGUGGGGCGCGUGGAGAGACUUCUGCUGUGGCUGGCAAAGUUCUUUUUCUUGGUCUCGGAGGCAGUUCACUUUGUAGUAAUUAGUUAAGCCGUACAUCAGAACCAUUGGAUUCUGUAUCCGGGUUUUAUUUUUACAAUAAAAAUACGUUUAAAAUAAUCAGUUACAGUUAUAAAACUGAAA